rnacentral:rRNA from 1 species
CUACGGGUUGCUCCAGUCUAGAAGCUUCCGCAAUGGGCGAAAGCCUGACGGAGCGACGCCGCGUGCAGGACGAAGGUUUUCGGAUUGUAAACUGCUUUCGACAGGGAAGAACGGCUCGAUGGCUAACACCCAUCGUGUUUGACGGUACCUGGAGAAGAAGCCCUGGCUAACUCCGUGCCAGCAGCCGCGGUAAUACGGAGAGGGCAAGCGUUGUUCGGAUUUAUUGGGCGUACAGCGCGCGCAGGCGGCCAAGUAAGUCGGGUGUUAAAUACCUACCGCUCACCGGAGGGAAUGCGCCCGAUACUGCAUUGCUUGAGUACGAGAGAGGAAUCUGGAAUUCCGGGUGUAGCGGUGAAAUGCGUAGAUAUCCGGAGGAACAUCUGUGGCGAAGGCGAGAUUCUGGCUCGUGUCUGACGCUGAGGCGCGAAAGCGUGGGGAGCGAACGGGAUUAGAUACCCGGGUAGUC